rnacentral:rRNA from 1 species
CUCAGAGCGAACGCUGGCGGAAUGCUUAACACAUGCAAGUCGCACGCCCCGGCAACGGGGAGUGGCGGACGGGUGAGAAACGCGUAGGAAUGUGUCUCGAGGUGGGGGACAACCCCGGGAAACUGGGGCUAAUACCGCAUGGGGGCCGAGGCCCAAAGCCGAAAGGCGCCUUGAGAGCAGCCUGCGUCCGAUUAGCUUGUUGGCGGGGUAACGGCCCACCAAGGC